UACGGAGGGUGCAAACGUUGCUCGGAAUCAUUGGGCGUAAAGCGCACGUAGGCGGCUCGUUAAGUCGGAUGUGAAAUCCCUGGGCUCAACCCAGGAAGUGCAUUCGAAACUGGCGAGCUUGAAUAUGGAAGAGGGUCGCGGAAUUCCCGGAUGUAGAGGUGAAAUUCGUAGAUAUCGGGAGGAACACCAGUGGCGAAGGCGGCGACCUGGGCCAAUGACUU
rnacentral:rRNA from 1 species